rnacentral:rRNA from 1 species
AAAGGAAUAGACGGGGGCCCGCACAAGCAGCGGAGCAUGUGGUUUAAUUCGAAGCAACGCGAAGAACCUUACCAGGACUUGACAUCGUCUGAAUCAUCCGUAAUGGGAAAAGUCCUUCGGGACAGACAGACAGGUGGUGCAUGGUUGUCGUCAGCUCGUGUCGUGAGAUGUUGGGUUAAGUCCCGCAACGAGCGCAACCCUUAUUGCUAGUUGCCAUCAUUAAGUUGGGCACUCUAGUGAGACUGCCGGAGACAAUUCGGAGGAAGGUGGGGAUGACGUCAAAUCAUCAUGCCCCUUAUGUUCUGGGCUACACACGUGCUACAAUGGGUGUAACAACGGGAAGCGAGCUGGUGACAGCAAGCCAACCUCUAAAAAGCACCCUCAGUUCGGAUUGCAGGCUGAAACCCGCCUGCAUGAAGUUGGAGUUGCUAGUAAUCGCGAAUCAGCAUGUCGCGGUGAAUACGUUCCCGGGCCUUGUACACACCGCCCGU